CAGCGACGCCGCGUGGGUGAUGAAGGUUUUCGGAUCGUAAAGCCCUUUUCUCAGUGACGAGGAAGGACGGUAACUGAGGAAUAAGUGUCGGCUAACUACGUGCCAGCAGCCGCGGUAAAACGUAGGACGCAAGCGUUAUCCGGAAUUACUGGGCGUAAAGCGCGCGCAGGCGGGUCGGUAAGUCAGCCGUGAAAGCUCCCGGCUAAACUGGGAGAGGUCGGUUGAAACUGCGGAUCUGGAGUACGGCAGAGGCAUAUGGAAUUCCGCGUGUAGUGGUGAAAUGCGUAGAUAUGCGGAGGAACACCAGUGGCGAAGGCGAUAUGCUGGGCCUGUACUGACGCUGAGGCGCGAAAGCAUGGGUAGCGAACGGGAUUAGAAACCCCGGUAGUCCAUGCCGUAAACGAUGUGUACUAGAUGUUCGUGCGCCUGCGGGUGUAUGAGUGUCGAAGCCAACGCGCUAAGUACACCGCCUGGGGAGUACGGUCGCAAGGCUAAAACUCAAAGGAAUUGACGGGGGCCCGCACAAGCAGCGGAGCGUGUGGUUUAAUUCGAGGCUACGCGAAGAACCUUACCUAGGUUUGACAUCCCACGAAUGAAUGCGAAAGCAGGAAGCCCCUUCGGGGCGUGGAGACAGGUGCUGCAUGGCUGUCGUCAGCUCGUGUCGUGAGAUGUUCGGUUAAGUCCGAAAACGAGCGCAACCCCUGGGUCUAGUUACAAGUGUCUAGACCGACUGCCUACGGCAAGUAGGAGGAAGGUGGGGAUGACGUCAAGUCAGCAUGGCCUUUAUGCCUAGGGCUACACACAUGCUACAAUGGUAUGUACAAAGGGAAGCGAUCCCGCGAGGAGGAGCUAAUCCCAAAAAGCAUAUCAAAGUUCGGAUCGGAGUCUGCAACUCGACUCCGUGAAGUUGGAAUCGC
rnacentral:rRNA from 1 species